rnacentral:rRNA from 1 species
ACAUGCCUACAACAUAGCGUUAAUGCACCGAAUCCCAUUAGAAAUCCGCAAUUAAGUGCGCUUAGGAUAGAGUAGUACUGGGAUGGGUGACCACUCGACAAGUCCUACUAUUUUACAUGCC